ACAGCAGCCGCCGCGGGAAUACGAAGGGGGCUAGCGUUGUUCGGAAUCACUGGGCGUAAAGGGUGCGUAGGCGGAUUUUUAAGUCAGGGGUGAAAUCCCGAGGCUCAACCUCGGAACUGCCUUUGAUACUGGGGAUCUUGAGUCCGGAAGAGGUGAGUGGAACUGCGAGUGUAGAGGUGAAAUUCGUAGAUAUUCGCAAGAACACCGGUGGCGAAGGCGGCUCACUGGUCCGGAACUGACGCUGAGGCACGACAGCGUGGGGAGCAAACAGGAUUAGAUACCCCAGUAGUCCCUGUCUCUUAUAC
rnacentral:rRNA from 1 species